rnacentral:rRNA from 1 species
UACGGGGGGGCAAGCGUUGUUCGGAAUUACUGGGCGUAAAGGCUCGUAGGCGGCCAACUAAGUCAUACGUGAAAUCCCUCGGCUUAACCGGGGAACUGCGUCUGAUACUGGAUGGCUUGAGUUCGGGAGAGGGAUGCGGAAUUCCAGGUGUAGCGGUGAAAUGCGUAGAUAUCUGAGAACACCGGUGGCGAAGGCGGCAUCCUGGACCGGCAUGACGCUGAGGCGCGAAAGCCAGGGAGCAAAGCGG